rnacentral:rRNA from 1 species
UACGAAGGGGGCUAGCGUUGCUCGGAAUCACUGGGCGUAAAGCGCACGUAGGCGGCUUUCUAAGUCAGGGGUGAAAUCCUGGAGCUCAACUCCAGAACUGCCUUUGAUACUGGAGAGCUUGAGUCCGGGAGAGGUGAGUGGAACUCCGAGUGUAGAGGUGAAAUUCGUAGAUAUUCGGAAGAACACCAGUGGCGAAGGCGGCUCACUGGCCCGGUACUGACGCUGAUGUGCGAAAGCUAGGGGAGCAAACAGG